rnacentral:rRNA from 1 species
GCACAACGCGAAGAACCUUACCAAGGCUUGACAUGCAUCUCUAAGCGCGUGAAAGCGCGUGACCCUUCGGGGAAUUUGCACAGGUGCUGCAUGGCCGUCGUCAGCUCGUGUCGUGAGAUGUUGGGUUAAGUCCCGCAACGAGCGCAACCCCUGUGAUUAGUUGCCAGCGGAUAAUGCCGGGGACUCUAGUCAGACUGCCCAGAUCAACUGGGAGGAAGGUGGGGACGACGUCAGGUCAGUAUGGCCCUUACGCCUUGGGCUGCACACGUACUACAAUGCCCAGUACAAUGAGAACCGAGACCGCGAGGUGGAGGAAAUCUGCAAAACUGGGCCCAGUUCGGAUUGGAGGCUGCAACUCGCCUCCAUGAAGCCGGAAUCGCUAGUAAUGCUGCAUCAGCUACGGCAGCGUGAAUACGUUCCCGGGUCUUGUACACACCG